GCUGUGUGAGGAGGGACCGGGAAGGUGGGCGGAUAUUGGGAUGUAAAGUGAAUAAAUUAACUAAUGAACAAAAUCAAAAUGAGGACAAACACUUGGCUCCAAAACCACUUUCCAAAAGGGGGCUGGUGUGAGAUUGUACUGGGUUAGAAUGCUGCGCGCAGCCCUGUCUGCAGCCCUGCCCACGGGAUUCCCAGGGCAUCAGCCUUGCUUGCAUACCUCUCUUGCCAGCAGACUCACUCCUCUAUGAGCUCCGAUCCCACUGUCCCUCAUCAUGAAGGUGCCCACCACAUUGGUCCCAAGGAGACUGGCUGUCACUUCCCAAGUGGUGCUGUCUGCUUCUCUGGAUCAUCUGGAAGCCAGCUGCUCUGAGAAGUUCACGCACUCUCCUUAAGGAUUUAUAAAAAAGAGGGAGACUCCCAGGAAUAAAAGGCUAGGCUCUCCUGAAGAGUCGAGCGUGCCCGAUUACUAAUCCCCCCCAGACCAGCCUUUCAUCAUCGAUAAGGCCUGUCUGCAUUUAACAGUCACAGAGCCGCACCAACUAGAGACCCAAGGAGUGACAUGCCCUUAGAUCACGUUUGACGCAAAUCCUUUUCACUCCGUCUUAGGCUGGUACUUCAAAGGAGCCGAGGGUCCUAGAGGCAGAGAGCCGAUGCCACCUCCCGCUACCGCAGGGAUGGCCCUGUGGUGGCUGUGUCUUGCUAAGAAUGGCGUCUGGCCUCUGGUUCCUUGUGCUGGACACGGGCUUGCUCGCUGACACGGCUGGCCAUCACGCGAAACCAUCUCAUGUGACCAGGCCACAAAAGACCACGGCAGACAUUCAGACUUCACUGGGGCACAGAAGGAGCUGAUUUUGGUAAGGGAUGCAGCUGACACAAACCAGACAUAAACCAGACUCAAAACAGACGCAGCCUGUCCUCAUCAAGAGCUUUGCAGAGAGAAACCCAAACCGGGAUUGGAUUUUAACAAGAAGAAAACCAUUUGCACAUGAUGGCCAAUAAGAGGCGCUUGACAUAAUGUCUUGCAAAUAGUGGCCCGUGAUGACAGGGCCUGUCUACAGACAGGAUAAGGGAGAAUCACACUCCUGGGUAGUUUCCCGAGCCAUCUUUACUACUGUAGUUCUUUUUUCUUUUCUUCUCUUUUUUUUUUCUGGAGUGACUGUUUUAGCGAAAAUGUUUGCAGUGGUAAGCUACCACAAACAGGCCAUCUCCUCCGAGGUUUCUUUUUUAACCACUGUAAUUUGAAACAAAUGUAUCGGACCGGGAACGCAUGAGAGUGCUCCCCUAUUGUGACAUGGAAGCCAAGGAAGUUUCCUAUGUCAUCCUGCCGGUUGCUUAGACAGCCCGAGGGUCCUGCUCUAGCUGUGCUCUGUACGGUCACCCUGCCCUUUGAACCCACUCCUGCAUCAUCAACUCAGGUAACCUCAUGGAUACAGAGAGCCUCAUCAGCACCGGUUUCCCACUGCUGCUCGAACAGAUUCCCACCCCGUGAACAAGCGUCGUGACUCGAAAUGAUACAAACAGCAUCGUUUUUGUAGGUGAUCAAUCAAUCCAAGAGGAUGACUCGGAGAUGAGACAUUUUUGCUGGAUCAUCAAAACAGGUGGACCAGAAAAUCAGUGACAAGGCACAUCAAAGGCCUGUUCCUGACCACCCUGCUCCCUCCUGACCACAUGUGUUCCAGGGUUCCCAAGGCCUCCCAACAAUGUCAUCAAUGGAACAACAGAAUAAUCCCUUGGUGAGGUCACAUCCAGUCACCUUUCAUUGGUAGGACAUAUUAGCCUCAGACUAAUCCUCCAAACCUCAACCUGUAAGGAAGAAAUUUCAGAUCCAAGUCAUAAGAUAAACAAAAAAUAAACAGAAAGAAAAACAGAA